AAACGCUCCCAGUCCGAGCUGAAGCGGUAGUCUCUGGGGAACAGGGUUCUCUGUACUCUGACCUCUAGAUGCAUUGAUAGUUCUGUUAAUGCUACGGGAAUAUGCGCACUCAUGCAUUAGGAGAAACAAACUUACACCGGUGUGGAACAACAGGUUUGGAACACAAGGAGAUCCAAUGAAAGAAGAAAAAACUUCAGAGUGGGACGUUUUUAUCAGGAAUUGAUUGAAUUGUGAAAAAUAAACAACACCCAAAGGGAGGAGAACAUACAGACCUCUAUGAAUGUCAUGUGUUUGAAUUCUCAGGAAAUGUGUAGGCACAGAUCUCAUGUGGGAAAACAGGUGAAGAAAAGCCAAAUGAGUGUGCUUAAC